rnacentral:rRNA from 1 species
GCAUAUCAAUAAGCGGAGGAAAAGAAACCAACAGGGAUUGCCCUAGUAACGGCGAGUGAAGCGGCAACAGCUCAAAUUUGAAAUCUGGCGCAAGCCCGAGUUGUAAUUUGUAGAGGAUGCUUCUGGGCAGCGGCCGGUCUAAGUUCCUUGGAACAGGACGUCACAGAGGGUGAGAAUCCCGUAUGUGACCGGCGCGCACCCUCCACGUAGCUCCUUCGACGAGUCGAGUUGUUUGGGAAUGCAGCUCUAAAUGGGAGGUAAAUUUCUUCUAAAGCUAAAUACCGGCCAGAGACCGAUAGCGCACAAGUAGAGUGAUCGAAAGAUGAAAAGCACUUUGGAAAGAGAGUUAAAAAGCACGUGAAAUUGUUGAAAGGGAAGCGCUUGCAACCAGACUCCGCGGCGGUGUUCCGCCGGUCUUCUGACCGGUCCACUCGCCGCCGCGGGGCCAACAUCGUCUGGGGCCGCCGGACAAGACUGGAGGAAUGUAGCUCCCUCGGGAGUGUUAUAGCCUUCAGUGAUGCGGCGCGUCCCGGGCGAGGUCCGCGCUUCGGCAAGGAUGUUGGCGUAAUGGUUGCCAGCGGCCCGUCUUGAAACACGGACCAAGGAGUCUAACAUCUAUGCGAGUGUUCGGGUGUCAAACCCCUACGCGUAAUGAAAGUGAACGGAGGUGGGAGCUUCGGCGCACCAUCGACCGAUCCUGAUGUCCUCGGAUGGAUUUGAGUAAGAGCAUAGCUGUUGGGACCCGAAAGAUGGUGAACUAUGCCUGAAUAGGGUGAAGCCAGAGGAAACUCUGGUGGAGGCUCGCAGCGGUUCUGACGUGCAAAUCGAUCGUCAAAUUUGGGUAUAGGGGCGAAAGACUAAUCGAACCAUCUAGUAGCUGGUUCCUGCCGAU